ensembl:lncRNA
GAUAAUCUCAGUAAAGAACCAGCUACUGGGCCCAGCAGAUGAUAUGUGAUGUACCGGCUUGCCCCCCUCUCAGAAACAGCAACUCAGGAACAUUCUGGUCAUCUGUGGAGGAAACCCAUCCCCUGUCUAUAACCCUAUCCCAUUCUUCUCACUUGAGAUAAUUUAAUCAACUAGCCAGAUCUGAAAGACUGGCAUGGAUCACAGUGCAAAAAGACUUCUGACUUUUUGUGACCUUGCUUCAUUGGAUCUUCUGCUACCCCUGAGAGUUGUUUCACAUGGAUCUAAGAAUAGUAUCACCAUUUUCCAUCUCCUCCAAGUUCUGAUGCUCUUAUGGCAUCAAUUCUGCCCCAGGUAUCCAGGGCCUUCAAGUUGCCUCCACGGCUCUGCUGCUGCUGCUACUGCUAAGUCGCUUCAGUCGUGUCCGACUCUGCGAGACCCUAUAGACGGCAGCCCACCAGGCUCCCCCGUCCCUGGGAUUCUCCAGGCAAUAACACAGGAGUGGGGUUGCCAUUUCCUUCUCCAAUGCAUGAAAGUGAAAAGUGAAAGUGAAGUCGCUCAGUCGUGUCUGACUCUUAGCGACCCCAUGCACUGCAGCCUACCAGGCUCCUCCAUCCAUAGGAUUUUCCAGGCAAGAGUACUGGAGUGGGGUGCCAUUGCCUUCUCCGCCACAGCUCUGCAGCCUCUCUCAAUACUGUUUGCUUCCCCAUGAAAAGCCCCAUUCUUUUCUCUUACCCCAACAACCCUGCUCAAAACGUCCACCAGCGAGAAUCAUGGUGAUUAGGCUGUGACACUCAACUAUAACAGAUAAAUUUAACACAAAGGGAAUUCACAU